rnacentral:tRNA from 1 species
GGUUUGUAGCUCAGUGGAAGAACACUUGCCUAACAUGUGUGAAGUACUGGGUUUGAUUCUCAGCACCA